GGCUGCUCUAAUAACUGUUUGUUGUGGGUGGGCUACUCUGGCACUUGCUUAUGGUCGGUGGGUGACUCGACUAACUUAGGCACUGACCGACAGAAAGUCAGGUGCCUGGUUAGUCUUCCCCCCGAAGGGGAGAUAUGUGACGAAGUGCCCUUCGCCACUUGGUCCUGGAGAGGCCUACUUGCCAGCCUCCUCCCCUGUGACUAUGACUCUUUCAUGUAUCUGGCUUUAAAGCCCC